AUUGAACGCUGGCGGCAGGCCUAACACAUGCAAGUCGAACGAGUGGCGGACGGGUGAGUAAUGUCUGGGAACCUGCCUGAUGGAGGGGGAUAACUACUGGAAACGGUAGCUAAUACCGCAUACCAUCGGAUGUGCCCAGAUGGGCUGAGCUAGUAGGUGGGGUAACGGCUCACCUAGGCGACGAUCCAUAGCUGGUCUGAGAGGAUGACCAGCGACACUGGAACUGAGACACGGUCCGGACUCCUACGGGAGGCAGAAGGGGGGAAUAGGGCACAAUGGGCGAAAGCCUGAUGCAGCCAUGCCGCGUGUAUGAAGAGGGCCUUCGGGUUGUAAAGUACUUUCAGCGGGGAGGCGUUACCCGCAGAAGAAGCACCGGCUAACUCCGUGCCAGCCGCCGCGGUAAUAC
rnacentral:rRNA from 1 species